rnacentral:rRNA from 1 species
UACGGGGGGGGGCAAGCGUUGUUCGGAAUUACUGGGCGUAAAGGGCUCGUAGGCGGCCAACUAAGUCGGAUGUGAAAUCCCCAGGCUUAACCUGGGAACUGCAUCCGAUACUGGAUGGCUUGAAUCCGGGAGAGGGAUGCAGAAUUCCACGUGUAGCGGUGAAAUGCGUAGAGAUGUGGAGGAACACCGAUGGCGAAGGCAGCCUUCUGGGCCAACACUGACGCUCAUGCACGAAAGCGUGGGGAGCAAACAGG